rnacentral:rRNA from 1 species
UACGGAGGUCUCAAGCGUUGUUCGGAUUCAUUGGGCGUAAAGGGUGCGUAGGCGGCGCGGUAAGUCGGGUGUGAAAUUUCGAGGCUUAACUUCGAAACUGCAUUCGAUACUGCCGUGCUUGAGGACUGGAGAGGAGACUGGAAUUUACGGUGUAGCGGUGAAAUGCGUAGAUAUCGUAAGGAAGACCAGUGGCGAAGGCGGGUCUCUGGACAGUUCCUGACGCUGAGGCACGAAGGCCAGGGGAGCAAACGGG